UUCAUAUCUUCUCAACUGAAAAUGACGUUAUGUGAUAGUUGUCUUAUUCUCCUGCUGUGAAAACCGAGAAUAAGUCCACUGUUGCACCAAGUCGUUUUCAACUCCAGUAAGUAAUUGA
rnacentral:precursor_RNA from 14 species